UACGUAGGCAGCAAGCGUUGUUCGGAAUUACUGGGCGUAAAGGGCUCGUAGGUGGCCAACUAAGUCAGACGUGAAAUCCCUCAGCUUAACUGGGGAACUGCGUCUGAUACUGGAUGGCUUGAGUUUGGGAGAGGGAUGCGGAAUUCCAGGUGUAGCGGUGAAAUGCGUAGAUAUCUGGAGGAACACCGGUGGCGAAGGCGGCAUCCUGGACCAACACUGACACUGAGGAGCGAAAGCCAGGGGAGCAAACGGG
rnacentral:rRNA from 1 species